GAUGCUAGGUGAAGACCUACUAUGUGCCACACACCUGGCAGGGUCAGUUACACUCCUGCAGUUACUGAGCCCUUGCAAGUCUUGAGUGAAAGCUAAGAUUUUGUAUUAAAAAAGAGGAUGCUGGGAUUUACUAUCACCACGACUAGACAACUUGCCUGAAGCUCAUGGAAGUUGGGAACCUUGUAUCAAAAUAGAACAACUGGGGACCUAAGCCAAUAUGGGAACCCAGAUCUGACUCCUGAAUUUAAGCCCUGCCUUGCCUCAUGGACCUACUUCAUUGCAUCCUUCCUGGCCACCAUUCCUCAACCAAACCUUCUUCUUAAGGAAGGGGAAAAAAAUGAGCUAACAGCUGCUAGGAGAUUUGGAAUGAAUGUGAAGUUCUCCAGGUUAAAAUGGAGACCAAGGGAAAUUCAUAUGACUCCACUUUCCUCAUCUCUCUGGAUCCCUCAUCGAGCCAGUAAUGUAUUCCCCCUUCUUGCUAACACACUUUUUAAAAUGUUAAUAGACUGUAAAUUACUUUUCUUUUUAUACUUCUUAAAAUAAGCGUUUCCUCUUGUAGAUGGCAAGACGACGCUGGAGUUACGGGCUUGGUUUUAUUACUGUCGAGAUGAGAUGGACUGGAGAGAGCUCAUACAGCUUUUAUAGGAACUAUUUUAUUUAUAAGAAUUUUCCUAAUGUCAGAUGGAUGUGACAUGCCUGGUUUCUUUCUGCCCGCUAUUGAGAGAAGAGAGGUAUUUAGCAUGGA
rnacentral:lncRNA from 1 species